rnacentral:rRNA from 1 species
CCUACGGGCGGCAGCAGUGGGGAAUAUUGCACAAUGGGGGAAACCCUGAUGCAGCGACGCCGCGUGAGUGAAGAAGUAUCUCGGUACGUAAAGCUCUAUCAGCAGGGAAGAAAAUGACGGUACCUGACUAAGAAGCCCCGGCUAACUACGUGCCAGCAGCCGCGGUAAUACGUAGGGGGCAAGCGUGAUCCGGAUUUACUGGGUGUAAAGGGAGCGUAGACGGCAGCACAAGUCUGGAGUGAAAUCCCGGGGCUUAACCCCGGAACUGCUUUGGAAACGGUGCGGCUGGAGUGCAGGAGGGGUCAGCGGCAUUCCUCGUGUCGCGGUGCACUGCGUAGCUAUUAGGCGGACCACCGGUGGC